rnacentral:lncRNA from 12 species
UGUAGAUGAUAGUGAGAAAUCUGGCUUAGAUUGCAUGGUCUGGAUGGGGCCUCUGCUGUGGAGUAUAGAGCAAGGAAAUUAAUUUAUAUCCAUUACUUUUAUUUGUUUUAUUUGGCCCAUCUUCUGGAUAUUACAGUGUUGUUUAUGUGUGCGAAUGAGAGAGAGAAAGUGAGAGAGAUGGUGUGCAUUUGUGUGCUCUAGGGGUCUAUGCCAUCCAUGAAUAGUUACAAUGUCACAAAAUUGUUGUUCAACUGCAUGUUCCCUGAUACAUACGAGUGCUCAAAGUGGGCUAUUAAGAUUUCAAAAGUAAAAAUACACUAAUUGGUAUAACGUUGUUACCGCAAACCAGAUACACUGUGAAAAUCCUGGAUACCGAGGGUCAUUAAUUAACCUUAGCGCAACGAUUACUGCUUACAUUAGAGAGGAACAUGCAAGAGAUUGCGGGGGUUUUUUUUAUUUGGCUCUUCAGAGACCCUGGCGGAAGGCCCUGCCCCUGUGAGCUGUGAUAUGUUAACCGAGAAGCAACUAAUUAGAUGUCAAAAAUUCAUAAGGCCCCUCUUUAAUAUUGCAUAUCUAUCCCGGUAUGUCAUUUGAAAACAAGGGACUGCACAAACAGAGCGACCGCAACACAAAACCCCAGCAGGGACGCUGACAGGAGAAGAAGUCCGAGGAACACGAGUGAGACGAGGAGGAACAGAGAAAGCGCGAGAGGGAGGACGGCUCAGAGAGGGAAGGAGAUAAAAGAAGAGGAAACGGGAGGUACGGGAAAAAAGCAGGAAACAAUCAAAGAAAGUUCCUUGAUAAGCCCCAGAGAACGGCACCUGUGGAAAAUUUCCUCCUAGAGAUGAGUCUUUCUGGCAAAGAAGUAAUUGGAUGCUGCAGGUACAAAGUCUGUAAUACCUGGAGAAAGAUACACAAGAAUCCAUGACAAUCUAAGCGAUGAGCUCUGCACCUCUUCGUUCUCACUUCGCUGAAACGCUUCACCAAAAAUCUCAGCGCCGCCGCUACGUCCUCCUACUCCAGAAGAGAGAAGUGAAAGAUUACUGCGUGGGGCUCAUUAAGACUGUUUUAUUUUGUCUGCAAUUUUUUCCCCCCGUCUAUUGUCUCUCCACCCUCUCAGCGAAAGUCUCGACGGAGUCACAGCCCUGGGUGCAUCGCAGCGAUGAGACAAAUGCAGAAAAUGAACUGGAAGAAAACAGGGAGGCGAGAAAAAUGCGCGGCUGGCCGACGAUGGCCGAAAACUCAAAGGAGAAAUGGUUACACUGCAUCGCCAGCUUGCCUCAUCUGAUUCCCUGA